UACGUAGGGCGCAAGCGUUGUCCGGAAUUAUUGGGCGUAAAGAGCUCGUAGGCGGUUUGUCGCGUCUGCCGUGAAAACCCGAGGCUUAACCUCGGGCCUGCGGUGGAUACGGGCAGACUAGAGGUAGGUAGGGGAGAAUGGAAUUCCCGGUGUAGCGGUGAAAUGCGCAGAUAUCAGGAGGAACACCGGUGGCGAAGGCGGGUCUCUGGGCCGAUACUGACGCUGAGGAGCGAAAGCGUGGGGAGCGAACAGG
rnacentral:rRNA from 1 species